GAUGAACGCUGGCGGCGUGCCUAAUACAUGCAAGUCGAGCGAACAGACGAGGAGCUUGCUCCUCUGACGUUAGCGGCGGACGGGUGAGUAACACGUGGAGAACCUACCUAUAAGACGGGGACAACUUCGGGAAACCGGUGCUAAUACCGGAUAAAAUAUUUAACCGCAUGGUUCAAGAGUGAAAGACGGAAUUGCUGUCACCUAAAGAUGGACCGGCGCGGCAUUAGUUAGUUGGUAAGGUAACGGCAUACAAAGGCAAGGUACAGAAGCCGACCUGGGAGGGUGACCGGCCCAAUGGGACUGGGGCACCGGCCCAGAUCCUACGGGAAGGAGCCGGAGGGGAAUCUUCGGCAUUGGGGGAAAGCUGACCGGGGCACCGCGGGGGAGGUGAUAAAGUUCUCCGGAUCGAAAACCCCGGUUGUUAGGGAGGACCAAAGGGGUAAGUAAAUACGCACGUAUUGACGGUAACUAACCAGAAAGCCACGGCUAACUACGUG
rnacentral:rRNA from 1 species